rnacentral:rRNA from 1 species
AGCGAACGCUGGCGGCAGGCCUAACACAUGCAAGUCGAACGAACCUUUCGGGGUUAGUGGCGGACGGGUGAGUAACACGUGGGAACGUGCCUUUAGGUUCGGAAUAACUCAGGGAAACUUGUGCUAAUACCGAAUGUGCCCUUCGGGGGAAAGAUUUAUCGCCUUUAGAGCGGCCCGCGUCUGAUUAGCUAGUUGGUUGAGGUAAUGGCUCACCAAGGCGACGAUCAGUAGCUGGUCUGAGAGGAUGAUCAGCCACAUUGGGACUGAGACACGGCCCAAACUCCUACGGGAGGCAGCAGUGGGGAAUCGUGCGCAAUGGGCGAAAGACUGACGCAGCCAUGCCGCGUGAAUGAUGAAGGUCGUAGGAUUGUAAAAUUCUUUCAACGGGGACGAUAAUGACGGUACCCGGAGAAGAAGCCCCGGCUAACUUCGUG